rnacentral:rRNA from 1 species
GACGUAGGGUGCAAGCGUUGUCCGGAUUUACUGGGCGUAAAGGGCGCGUAGGCGGCCUCCGCAAGUCAGUUGUGAAAUCUCCGAGCUUAACUCGGAAAGGUCAACUGAUACUGCGGGGCUAGAGUGCGGAAGGGGCAACUGGAAUUCUUGGUGUAGCGGUGAAAUGCGUAGAUAUCAAGAGGAACACCUGCGGCGAAGGCGGGUUGCUGGGCCGACACUGACGCUGAGGCGCGAAAGCUAGGGAAGCGAACGGG